rnacentral:rRNA from 1 species
UACGUAGGGUGCGAGCGUUUAAUCGGAAUUACUGGGCGUAAAGCGUGCGCAGGCGGUUUUGUAAGACAGAUGUGAAAUCCCCGGGCUCAACCUGGGGAACUGCGUUUGUGACUGCAAGACUCGAGUGCGGCAGAGGGGGGUGGAAUUCCACGUGUAGCAGUGAAAUGCGUAGAGAUGUGGAGGAACACCGAUGGCGAAGGCAGCCCCCUGGGUCGACACUGACGCUCAUGCACGAAAGCGUGGGGAGCAAACAGG